UACGUAGGGUGCGAGCGUUAAUCGGAAUUACUGGGCGUAAAGCGUGCGCAGGCGGUUUUGCAAGCCGGAUGUGAAAUCCCCGGGCUCAACCUGGGAAUGGCAUUCGGGACUGCAAGGCUGGAGUGCGGCAGAGGAGACUGGAAUUCCUGGUGUAGCAGUGAAAUGCGUAGAUAUCAGGAGGAAUACCGAUGGCGAAGGCAGGUCUCUGGGCUGACACUGACGCUCAUGCACGAAAGCGUGGGGAGCAAACAGG
rnacentral:rRNA from 1 species